AUUGAACGCUGGCGGCAUGCUUUACACAUGCAAGUCGAACGGUAACAGGCCUUCGGGCGCUGACGAGUGGCGAACGGGUGAGUAAUGCAUCGGAACGUGCCCAGUCGUGGGGGAUAACGCAGCGAAAGCUGUGCUAAUACCGCAUACGAUCUGCGGAUGAAAGCGGGGGACCUUCGGGCCUCGCGCGAUUGGAGCGGCCGAUGUCAGGUUAGGUAGUUGGUGGGGUAAAGGCUCACCAAGCCAACGAUCUGUAGCUGGUCUGAGAGGACGACCAGCCACACUGGGACUGAGACACGGCCCAGACUCCUACGGGAGUCAGCAGUGGGGAAUUUUGGACAAUGGGCGCAAGCCUGAUCCAGCAAUGCCGCGUGCAGGAAGAAGGCCUUCGGGUUGUAAACUGCUUUUGUACGGAGCGAAAAGGCUCCCUCUAAUACAGGGGGCUCAUGACGGUACCGUAAGAAUAAGCACCGGCUAACUACGUGCCAGCCGCCGCAGUAACAC
rnacentral:rRNA from 1 species